CAGGAACUGCAGCUGUGCUAGGAUGGGUUCAGGAUUUGGCUGACUUGUGUCUGCACCCGCCAGGGCUCCAGAAUCUCUGCCAAAAUACAGAAGCUUUACAGUGUGAACUCCUGCACUUCCACACCCCCUGUGCUCACUUGGGAGAAAGGCUUUGGUUUCGGGAGCCAGGAUUCAGUCAGAGCCUGCCCCUCCGGCAGCUCUACUUCAGCCUUUUUGGAAUAUGUUUCAGGAAUUUAUUUCUGUCUUGUCCAUGCACCAUGUAAUCCAUCUUAAAUUAACAGGUAAGGCAUGAGCAUGAAAUUGGUGCUUGUUUUCACUGUGCCAUUCACCGAUCUACUGUGACUAUCCAGGUAGCUCUGGCUGUGAUCAUUGGUUUUUGUCAAUAACUGGGGGAAAAAACCUGCCCUGUCUUCACUCUAAAAGUCAUCAGAGCCAAUUCUGAUGAUGUUGCUGUCUGCCACGGAGCCUGGGUGAUAAAAACAUAACACUAAAGGCAUUACAAAGAUUAUUUUGGAUUAUUUCCAUAGAAUCUUGUGAGACUGCUGCUCCUCCCAGUGCCACAACACCGCUUGCUGAGGUCUGGGGAGAAAAGCAAAAGCACAGGUGUGAGGAAGCUGCCAUUGUACAACUGUGUAAUCUGUGAUGCAGACAAGUGAUUUAUGAUUGCACGUUCCAUGUAGCAGGAAUGACGUUGCCAGAGGUAAGAACAAGGAGGAAAAUUCAGGCUCCCUUCGGGUGACAGACGAGUCAAAAAUAAAGAGGAUCCAUUUUCAGCUUUCUGGCAAGUCUCAUCAGGAGAGUCCUAGAGCAAAAAAGGGAAAUGGGGCUUUCCUUUUGCAGUCACCCAACUGCCCCAGACUAACCAGUACUCACUAAGGUCCCCCCGAGAGGCAACUGGGAGAACUGGUGCCAUUCCAGCUAACUGGAACACUCUGCACACACCUUGUUUGUCUCACAUUGUGAAAUUCCAUAUUAAUGUACAGCAUUUUCAUGGACAACUCUGACCACUUCUCUCUGGGCUUGGUGGAGGGAAAUGAGGAUCAGCAGAAUUACUGAAAUUGGGUGUCCACCCCCUUCCAAAGAAUGGAGAGCCCUUAGUCCCAAGGGCAGGUGUGGGGAAAAGUUGAAAUUGCUCUGCUUCUCAUGGACUGGACAGGGAUCAAGGGAAAGUGAGGAAAUUCCUGGAGUGCUGCUUAGCUGGGCAGGACCUGAAGUUGUCUGAAUGGCAUAGAUUGGAAGCAGAAUAACUUUCUGAUGGUUUAAUUGAUUCUAGUUAAUAUUUCAAGUGCAGUGGCAACUAAAAGUAAUUGUGAUUAAUUGUUAGAUUGCAAAUAGCUCACACAGGCAUCCAACAUCCGAGCCUUGAAGCAGUUGAAUCUGGUCUCAUUCAUAACAAUAUAUAAGUGUUGAACACUUGAAUUAACCAUUCUGUUCCUCCUCUAUUUUCAAGUUAGUUUGUACUUUGUUGGUUUGGUUUGGUUUUUUUUUUUUCCUUUUGGACAAUUUUAAUAAAUUUUAUCAAUUUUUUUGA